GAUGAUAAUUUACGAAAGAAAAAACAUGAGUCUGCUAGAUAUUGAUCUGAGGUUGACAACUUGCAGGUACCAACUGAUCUCCACAAGAAGCGACUUGCAAUGGUGCGUGCUUUACUAGAAUCCUCAAAACCAGAGACGAAUGCAAGCAACUCUAAGGAAACUAUGAGACAAGUGAUGGUGAACCCAAAUAGUGGAAAUCAUCUCUUAAGAGCAUCACCAAGUUCAGAGCAAUUGGUUUCGCAAACGUCCGGUCCUCACAUGUUGCAACAUAUGACACGUUACUAAAGUACUUGAAUAUAAAAGUCUGAGCCAGCUCUCACUGCUAUGUUCAUCUUCUUGGUUUCAGGAGUUUACACAUCUAUGGAGAGAGUGAAGCACAAAGAGUCAAACUGUAUGUAUUAUAUAUAUUAAUUCAUGAGUCUUAUAGGCAAUCAAAUAAUACAGGUGAUUUGUUUUUUUUUCAUAGUUGUGACUCAAACUAUUUCUUCUUCUUUUCAGUGGGUUUUUUGUUUUUUUUUUUCUUCUUUAUAUUUUUUUAGUUGUCCACUUCAUUUUAAGCUUGAAAGUUUUAGUCUUUUUGCUGAAUCAGCAAGUCAGCAGCGAGUUCCAUGUUUUUUUUGGCUUUGCUGCAAUGUGUGAAAUAAUGUCCACUAUGUAUAAUAUUUACUCAAA